CUGUCCCUGGCAUCAGCUGGCAUUUUGUUCCCCCAGCCCCCAGGGUCAGCACUGGCUGUGCCCAUGCCAAGCUCCUUCCCGAGCCUCGGCACCUCGCUCCUGGAGGCUGCUAUCAUGUGCAAAAAGGAAGGAGCAGGCAAAACAAGCACAGCCAGGAAUCACAUAAUAUUGCUGCAGUCCUGCCAGGAAACAGACUGUAGAAGUUCCUGUGUUUAAAAGCCAGGAGAUGAGUUUUAUUGUUAGUAGUUGUUAUAGUAACCUGAGGUGCUGGAGAGUAAUACAUGCUCGGCGCGUUGCAACAGACUCUGACAAGUUCAAGGCUGUUGCCUUGCUGCUAAAUCUUGUUGCCAAGGCAAUGCAACACAAGGAAAGAGCCUAGAGAAAUGAAUCCUGCUGACAGCUCAUGCCAGCAGGCCUGGGCUGAUUAAAAGGGAACUUUUAAAAGUGAUGUUAACUUAAAAAGCACAGCAGCAGAAAGGAAAGGGGAGCACGGAUAUGGAGAGAGGAUCCAGCGGAGGAGCAAUGGGUUAAUGUCAAGCAACAGCCUUUUAAAAAUGCUUCCUGGCGAAAGGUUAGCUGGAAAACAGAUGAAUCUGCAAGCUGAUUAUUCUCUCCUGUCUAUGAUUCACUGUUAAUGCUGACAGUAUACUCUGAAUUGAAAGAAGAAUAUUACCCCAAGGACCACAGAGUCAAAAUAUAUGAUCAGCUCUGAAGAAGUCAGGUGUUACCUGUCCCUCUCCACACCAGGAUGUCUGCACAGCAGGAGUACGCAGGCAGAGGUCUCCAUUUGCUGCAUCACCUGCAGGAGCUGCAGCACAGGGAUCUGCCUGACUAGAAUGGCCCAGGCCACUGACAAUCCAGGAGCACCUGGCAGUUGUUUUGAGGGAGGGAACAAAGCUCCAGGACUAAUGGGAGAAGUCUUUUCCAUGCAGGAAUGUUUCUCCUUGAUCAUGCUUGUAAUCCAUUCAUAGCCUGAAUCAUCAGUACUUGUCAGCUUCAUAAUCCUUCCAAGACUAAAGUAAAACUCAUCUACAUACCCAGGAGAAGAAAACUCACCCUACAAUAAACCUGAAAGGCAUCUGCUGGGAUAAGCAACUGCUGCCUCUGAAAUUCAAAUAUCAGGGUGUGUGAUCAAUGCCACGCAGCACCUCAGCACUCAAAUCAACCUCCUGAGACAUCAAGUCUGUCCCCUGCUGCUGCAGACAAUGCACUGUAUAAUGACUUUAAUAAACUACAACUCAAAAGCAGUGAGAUUUUUCCAUUCCAAAUACCCCCUUGGGUAAGGCAGUAUUUGAUUGCUCUAAUGGUUGACAACUCUCUUCUGGUUUCCAGCUGAAAUUUGUGUGUGGCCAGUUCCAAUUCAUGUGCCAGGACCCUCUCUAGCUAAGCAGUUGUCUGGGCCAGAGCUCAGAGUUCAAGGCAAAACUCCACCAAUUUCAUUCCAGUGUCACCCUCACUUUCAAAACCACACCCAAAGUUUGCAAUUUCUUGGCCUUUUCAAAUUCAAAGUUUAUUAAAACAUAAUACAGCUGGAAUUUUUUUCCCAAAAGGAAAUAAAAACAAGGGGAUGAAUAUGGAUGGAACAGCCCUGCUAAUUCCGUGAGUGUUAAACUGAAUUAAUAGGCAAAUUGGAGAAAGCCAAUUGUUUCUACCUUCAUAGCACACGCCACAUGUAGUUACAUAUUCUUCCUGUGCCCGAGGUAAGUUUAGACUUCCAACAGCCACCAGACAGUUAAAAGUCCUGUAUUAAAUAGCAGAUGCUGUGCCACCUCAUCCCCUUAUUAGUGGCAGGGAACCUGCAGGUUCCUGUGGUGCUGGUGUGGUCAGAUGGAGCCAUCUCAGUGCUGUGUACACAUUUGCUAAGUGUUCUGCAUCCUGUCCCUAUUCAAAUCAAGUACCCUGUGACUGGACAGCUCAGUGCCUCAGGAACUUUUUCCUCCACGGAUCCCUCCAGCUCCCGAGGGCCCUUGCUCACUUUUCUGUGAUGGUCUUGUAGCUCCUGCACUGAUGUGGUGGCAGCAGCCAGCGGGCUGGAGCCUCUCUGGUGACCCCAUCAGGGUCUUCAUCCCACCCUGCUCCAGCCUUGCUGCUUCCCCAUGAUCACAGUCCUUGAGGGGCUCUUUAAAAGCGAGCACUACCCAGAAUUAAAAGGUUUUUGUCCCCGAACCUACAUGGAGUUAGUUAAUGUGUGCAAUUUUACACCUGUAAGCAGCAAUGCUGAUUUCAAAGGGACCUUCUAAGACUUUCAAGCAUAUUUUACAAAGUUUCUACUUGAUCCUGCUUGUAAUUCACUCCUAGCCUGGAUCAUGAGGACUUGUUGGACUUGAGGACUUCUGCAUCUUAGAAAUUAUUAAAAACGCAAUUAAAAUACAGAGGUUUGGUGGUUUGAUUUUGUUGUUUUUGGU
rnacentral:lncRNA from 1 species